UGGGGAAUAUUGGACAAUGGGCGCAAGCCUGAUCCAGCCAUGCCGCGUGGGUGAAGAAGGCCUUCGGGUUGUAAAGCCCUUUUGUCCGGAAAGAAAAGCUUCGGGUUAAUACCCCGGGGUUCUGACGGUACCGGUAGAAUAAGCACCGGCUAACUUCGUGCCAGCAGCCGCGGUAAUACGAAGGGUGCAAGCGUUACUCGGAAUUACUGGGCGUAAAGCGUGCGUAGGUGGUUUGUUAAGUCUGAUGUGAAAGCCCUGGGCUCAACCUGGGAAUGGCAUUGGAUACUGGCGAGCUAGAGUGCGGUAGAGGGCAGUGGAAUUCCCGGUGUAGCAGUGAAAUGCGUAAAGAUCGGGAGGAACAUCUGUGGCGAAGGCGACUGCCUGGACCAGCACUGACACUGAGGCACGAAAGCGUGGGGAGCAAA
rnacentral:rRNA from 1 species